rnacentral:rRNA from 1 species
AGAGUUUGAUCCUGGCUCAGCCUGAACGCUGGCGGCGUGGCUAAGACAUGCAAGUCGUACGGGUGUAGCAAUACACCAGUGGCGGACGGGUGAGUAAUGUAUCGCUAAUGUACCCUAGACACUGGGAUAGCCGGGGGAAACUCCGGGUAAUACCAGAUGAUAUAACCGAAUCGCAUGGUUUGGUUCUCAAAGUAGCAAUACGGUCUAGGAGCAGGUGAUAUCGUAUCAGCUUGUUGGUAGGGUAACGGCCUACCAAGGCUUUGACGCGUAGCUGGUCUGAGAGGACGACCAGCCACAUUGGGACUGAGACACUGCCCAGACUCCUACGGGGGGCUGCAGUAACGAAUCUUCCGCAAUGCACGAAAGUGUGACGGAGCGACGCCGCGUGUGGGACGAAGUCCUUCGGGAUGUAAACCACUGUCAGGGGUUACCAAGUUCUGAGGAGCCCCAGAGGAAGGCACGGCUAACUCUGUGCCAGCAGCCGCGGUAAUACAGAGGUGCCAAGCGUUAGGCGGAAUCACUGGGCUUAAAGCGCGUGUAGGUGGACGGGUAAGUAUCUUGUGAAAUCCCACGGCUCAACCGUGGAACUGCUGGAUAUACUGCUUGUCUUGAGGCAUUCAGGGGCAACCGGAACAAAUGGUGGAGCGGUGAAAUGCGUAGAUAUCAUUUGGAACGCCUAUGGUGAAAACAGGUUGCUGGGGAUGUUCUGACACUGAGACGCGAAAGCCAGGGGAGCAAACGGGAUUAGAUACCCCGGUAGUCCUGGCCCUAAACAAUGUCCACUAGAUCGUGGCGCCUUUGACGGCGUCAUGGUCGAAGCAAAAGUGUUAAGUGGACCGCCUGGGAAGUACGGUCGCAAGGCUAAAACUCAAAGGAAUUGACGGGGGCUCACACAAGCGGUGGAGCAUGUGGUUUAAUUCGAAGCAACGCGCGGAACCUUACCUGGGCUUGACUCGCCUGGAUUAUCCCCAUGAAAGUGGGGUACACCCCGCAAGGGGCGGAACAGGUACAGGUGCUGCAUGGCUGUCGUCAGCUCGUGUCGUGAGAUGUCGGGUUAAGUCCCUUAACGAGCGAAACCUUCGCCCUUAGUUACUAACGGGUUAUGCCGAGGACUCUAAGGGGACUGCCGGUGUCAAACCGGAGGAAGGUGGAGAUGACGUCAAGUCCUCAUGGCCUUUAUGCCCAGGGCUACACACGUGCUACAAUGGGAUGCACAGAGCGAACCUAAAGCGCGAGCUCAUGGAAAUCGCAGAAAUCAUCCUUCAGUUCAGAUAGGAGGCUGCAACUCGCCUCCUUGAAGCUGGAAUCGCUAGUAAUCGCAUAUCAGCUACGAUGCGGUGAAUGUGUUCCUGAGCCUUGUACACACCGCCCGUCAAGUCAUGGGAGCCGGAAAUAGCCGAAGUGGCCACACUACUGUGGUCCCUACGCUAGGUUCGGUGACUGGGACUAAGUCGUAACAAGGUA